rnacentral:rRNA from 1 species
UACGUAGGUGGCAAGCGUUGUCCGGAUUUACUGGGCGUAAAGGGCGUGCAGGCGGUUUGUUAAGUGCAGGGUGAAAGCUCCCGGCUCAACUGGGAGAGGUCCUUGCAUACUGGCAAACUCGAGGGAGGCAGAGGAAAGUGGAAUUCCCGGUGUAGUGGUGAUAUGCGUAGAUAUCGGGAGGAACACCUGUGGCGAAGGCGGCUUUCUGGGCCUUACCUGACGCUGAGACG